rnacentral:rRNA from 1 species
GACGAACGCUGGCGGCGUGCUUAACACAUGCAAGUCGAACGAAGUGGCGAACGGGUGAGUAACGCGUAAUCAACCUGCACUUCAGAGGGGGACAACAGUUGGAAACGACUGCUAAUACCGCAUACGGAAGGAGGGGAUUGCGUCUGAUGAGCUAGUUGGCGGGGUAACGGCCCACCAAGGCGAUGAUCAGUAGCCGGUCUUGGAGGAUGAACGGCCACAUUGGGACGGGGACACGGCCCAGACUCCUUCUGGAGGCAGCAGUGGGGAAUCUUCCGCAAUGGACGAAAGUCUGACGGAGCAACGCCGCGUGAGUGAUGACGGCCUUCGGGUUGUAAAGCUCUGUUAAUCGGGACGCGGUACCGGAAUAGAAAGCCACGGCUAACUACGUGCCAGCCGCCGCGGUAAUUC